GGAUUUUGAAAAUCCGUCUCUAAUUUAGGGACGAAUUUUUAAAAUCCGUCUCUAAUUUAGGGACGGAUUUUUAAAAUCCGUCUCUAAUUUAGGGACGGAUUUUUAAAAUCCGUCUCUAAUUUAGGGACGGAUUUUUAAAAUCCGUCUCUAAAUUUAGAGACAGAUUCUAAAAAUCC
rnacentral:pre_miRNA from 1 species